rnacentral:lncRNA from 1 species
GUUCUGCAUCAUCCUUGCUACCCCUCCGAUGAUGCGUGAGUAGUUUACCAUAGACCUACGGGUCUGUAGUUAGUAGCUAGAUGACUUCUUCUCUCUUUUUGAUCUUAAAUAUAAUGUUCUCCUCGAUGUUGUUGGAGAUCAAUUUAAUGUAACUCUUUUGGCGGCGUGUUUGUUGGGAUCGAAUGAAUUGUGAGUUUAUGAUUUGAUAUGUCCAUGAAUAUUGUUUGCAUAUUAUAUGAACU